rnacentral:rRNA from 1 species
UACGGAGGGUGCAAGCGUUAUCCGGAUUUACUGGGUUUAAAGGGUGUGUAGGCGGAUUAUUAAGUCAGGGGUGAAAUCUCCGAGCUCAACUCGGAAACUGCCUUUGAUACUAUUAGUCUUGAAUCCUGUUGAGGUUGACGGAAUAUAACAUGUAGCGGUGAAAUGCAUAGAUAUGUUAUAGAACACCGAUUGCGAAGGCAGUUAACUAAACAGGCAUUGACGCUGAGGCACGAAAGCGUGGGGAUCAAACAGG